CUUCCAGAGGCUCCCGGACCUGAACGCUGCACACGCAGGAAGCCGGCAACAGCGGAGAGACGCCGGUGAGUUCCUCUUCCUCGGAGACCUCCUCGGGACCACCAGAACCUUGGCUCUGUCCCUCUGUCACCGCCUCCCUCUCAAAAAAGGAACAGGAUGAGGAGACAGAGGACAGUGAUGGCUGACAACACCGACACUAUCACCCAGGAGGGGGCAGCACCUACAGGCGGUCCACACACGGCGUCUGCCUGAGCGCUGCCUGCUUGUGUCUCACUCCUGCCCUCUGCCUUACAACUGAGAGAAGGAAACUCAUUUCAAGGUGGUAUAAGGUUAGAUACAUACAUAUAUAUGUAUACAUAUAU